UUCCUCGCUAAUGUUCGGAUUGUUUACCAAUGAUGCAAGUAAUUUAGUCAGAGUAACAAAGUAACGACUAGUUGUUUAAGUUAAAAGGUAGAUUUAAUAUUCUGGAUAUGAGCGAGGAAUGUCGGCGAGCGGCGGACGGCUGAGUAGCGCGUAGGAACAUACCCCAAAGUGAGGCAUAACCGCCCGAAAAGGUGGCUAAUACCGCAUAUUGUCUUCGGAUGAAAGCUUUUAGCGCUUUGGGAAUGGCCUGCGUUUGAUUAGCUAGUUGGUGAGGUAAGGGCUUACCAAGGCGAUGAUCAAUAGCUGGUUUGAGAGAAUGAUCAGCCAGACUGGAACUGAGACACGGUCCAGACUCCUACGGGAGGCAGCAGUUGGGAAUUUUCCACAAUGGGCGAAAGCCUGAUGGAGCAACGCCGCGUGCAGGAAGAAUGCCUUCGGGUUGUAAACUGCUUUUAUGUGCGAAGAAUAUGACGGUAGCAUAUGAAUAAGGGUCGGCUAACUACGUG
rnacentral:rRNA from 1 species